rnacentral:rRNA from 1 species
GCAAGUCGAGCGCACCUUCGGGUGAGCGGCGGACGGGUUAGUACCGCGUGGGAACAUACCCGACUCUAAGGAAUAGCCACGGGAAACGGAGAGUAAUACCUUAUACGCCCUUUGGGGGAAAGAUUUAUCGGAGAAGGAUUAGCCCGCGUUAGAUUAGGUAGUUGGUGGGGUAAUGGCCUACCAAGCCUACGAUCUAUAGCUGGUUUUAGAGGACGAUC